rnacentral:rRNA from 1 species
UACGUAGGGGGCAAGCGUUAUCCGGAUUUACUGGGUGUAAAGGGAGCGUAGACGGUAUGGCAAGUCUGAAGUGAAAGCCCAGGGCUUAACCCUGGGACUGCUUUGGAAACUGUUAGACUAGAGUGUCGGAGGGGUAAGCGGAAUUCCUAGUGUAGCGGUGAAAUGCGUAGAUAUUAGGAGGAACACCAGUGGCGAAGGCGGCUUACUGGACGAUGACUGACGCUGAGGCUCGAAAGCGUGGGGAGCAAACAGG